CGAGCUUCUAAAGGAGAGCCCAGACACCCUGUGGAGGAAACUAAUUUUAGCCGCAUAUGUCCGCAAUCUUGUUCUUUCGGUCAUGACCCACAGCUUGCGACUACAGGUGAGGGUAGGAACGUUGAUUAACUGGUAAAUUGAGCGCUUCGCCUUUUGGCUCAGCUCCUUCAUGACUGCAGACCCUGCACCAAUCUGCUCAUUCAAUUCCCUUACUAAGACCCCAAGAUACUUGAAUCAGCUGCCUCCGGGGUCCCACAGGCAAAAAUAGGCCUAAAAGGACUCCUUCAGCUGGACGGCAUCCCUCACUACCAGUGUCCAGGAACGGGUUAGGGAAUUACUGCCACGAUAGGGAUCGACAACAUUAGGGCCUUAGUCCCCCUCGGCUGCCCCACUCAAUAUAUCCCAUGGUCAAAGUUCUGCCAGAGGUGGAAAUCGAAACUUUAUGGGCAACUCCAGUAUGGAACAGAGGAUUGGUUCCAGAGCCGGAGUUGUGUGGCGAGGCCAACCCAGAACCUCUCGGCCUCGCACACAAGCGCAGUCUCCUUCCCUGUCCCUCGAACCAGCUGCUGCAGUCAGGGAUAUUUUUUCACUAAUGCAUUUUAUAUGGUUGAGUAUUUUUUUUUUUAUAUAUAUGGGGUUAUUAAAAGAGUAACAUAUAGUCUAACCCAAGAAGAGGUCAGUCAUUUUCCUCUUCACUUUUAUUCCCUUUUUACGAGCCCGACAAGCAAACGUGUGGGGGUGGAGGAAUUUGACCAGUUGUGCAAACAACAUGGUGAACAAAGGAAAGGGAAGCAACAUGAGAGAUGAUAGAGGCAGAGACUAAACUGGUGUUUGACAACUGCCGCUGUGGUGUUGACGAUCCGCUGACAAGUUCUUCCUUUUUGUUUGCUUGGUGAUGACUGAUUUGCAUGGUUUGGAUCUUUCCUAAGACGUUGGAGAAGUAUACUCAGGCAAGAGCAAUGUUCACCAUAAUAUUCUUCCAAAAGUUCAGACAACAAUCAAGAUGCCUCCCUUUUCCACCGAGGACUAACACGGACUGCUGCAGAGGAUGUCAAUCCUGGAAAUGAAAAUCCACCGUCUUGAAGUGUAUGUUGAUGUAAAUGGACAGUCGGGGAAUUAAAUCACUCUACCGAUGUCUCAAAAUGAUGAGCAGAAAUAAGUGUGCAGACAGCCACUUGGCUCAACAAAGAGGACGGAUGUGGACUGUGAAAACGCUCACGGAUCAUCCAGCAGUUCUCCCUGAAAUUUACUGGGAUCAAAGCCCAAAGAUAUGGGACAACGUCUAAAAGGGAGGAUACAACACCAGCAGAUUACAGAGGAAUCCGGUUGGCCUGCGUUGCAUGCUGCUUCAACCCCGUGUGAGCGGCCGUGGACGGUCGCUACAGCAAAGGGCAAGAAUGGAUGAAUUACAGAUUUGGAUGAAUUACAGAUUCUUCCAAAAGUUCAGACAACCUCUUUGUCUAUUAAGAAAAUGUACAUAAAUGAGAGUACCGCCACUAAGUUUAUGGAGACCAUAGCUGUGCCACAAAUUGUGAAUGCUGAGACAGUUGAUGAAAUUUUGGAUAACUGGACCUGGAAAAUCUAAAAUGUCAUGAAUGCUGUCGCUCCUAUUACAACUAAAACAAUCUUGAGGGGACCUAGAACACCGUGGAGGAGCACAAUGAUGGUAAAGACCUUUAAAUCAAAGGUUAGGAAAGGAGAACGUAAGUGGAGAAAAACUCAACUCCUAAUUGACUAUGACCUCUACAGACAAAGUCUUUGUAAUUUUAACCAAAGUCUUUGUACGUUUAACCAAGAGUUAGCACUCUGUUUGCUGUGGUUGACAAGCUCACAACCCCCCACCCCGAAUCAGAUAGCUCCAGAACUCCUAACAGAAGAUAAAGGCAACGGUUCAGCAGCUUUCAAACCUAUAGCGAAGUCUGUGCUAGCUGAUUUACAGCAAAUAAUCAAUUGCUCACUUCAGUCAGGCGAGUUUCCUACAGCUUUUACAGUAGCUGCCUUAAGCCUCUUCUAAAAAAUAGAACACUGGACGCUUCCAUGUUAGCAAGCUAUAGACCCAUCUCAAAUCUCCCUUUCAUAGCCAAGAUUGUUGAGAAAUUUCUUCUUGAACUUAAAUAGACUUUUUGACACUUUUCAAUCAGGUUUCUGAACUCUUCACAGUACAUAAUCUGCUCUUAUCAAAGUGCUAAAUGAUAUAAGGUGGAAUACUGACUCAGGAAAGGUGUCAAUUCUGGUCUUGUUGGACCUCAGUACGGCCUUUGCUACGGUAGAUCAUAAUAUAGUGCUGAAUAGGUUGGAAACAUGGGUAGGACUAAAUGGAACAGUCCUUUAAUGGUUCAGGUCCUACCUGGAGGAAAGGAGUUAUUUUGUAACCAUUGGAAGUGUUCAAUAUCAUUGAAUGGCAAUGACCUAUAGGGUCCCUCAAGGGUCAGUUCUUGGACCCCUCCUUUUCAGCCUGUAUAUGCUACCCUUGGGUCAAAUUCUUCAGAACUUUAAUUUUGACUAUCACAGCUGUGCAGAUGACACAGUUAUAUCUAGCAGUGUCAAUUGAGGUGUUGUGUCACUGUCUAAAACAAAUAGGCUUGCAAGCAGACCAGGAGUAGCUCAUCCAUGCUUUUAUCUCAAGUAGACUUGAUUAUUGUAAUGGUCUUCUGACUGGACUCCCCCAAAAAAGCAUUAAACAGUUGCAGCUCAUUCAGAAUGCUGCAGCUCAGGUUCUGACCAGAACAAAGAGGUCAGAGCAUAUUACUCCAAUUCCAAAGUCUUUACACUGGCUUUAGAAUAGAUUUUAAGAAUAGAUUCUGCUACUGGUCUAUAAAUCACAAAACAGUUUAGGUCCUGAAUACAUGAAAGAAGUGCUCAUGGAAUAUAAACCCAGUAGGGCUCUGAGAUCAACAGACUCAGGUCAAAUAGUGGAGCACAGAGUCCAAAUCAAACAUGGUGAAACAGCAUUUAGCUAUAUGCUGCACUCAAAUGGAAAAGUUGCCAACAGAAGUGACGUCAGCCCCGAGUGUGAAUGUUUUUAAGUCCAGGUUAAAAACUCUUCUUUUUUCUCCCAUGCUUUUUAGAGAAUUUCCUCCUUUAAAUGACAUUUCUUGCACUGUACGCUGUUUUAAUUGUUUUUUACUUUUGUAGUUUUAAAUGUUUAUAAGCUGUUUAUCUUACUUUGUUUUUAAAUGAUUUUAAUCAUGUAAAGCACAUUGAGUUACCUUGCACUAUAUAAUUAAAUUUGCUUUGCUUUUCUAAUGGGACAAGCCGAAAGGAAACUGCUCCCUGCUCUGCCGGUCCUUCAGUUUUAAUGCAUCAUACACAGGGAUGGGCUGGGGAGGACACUUGGCCGGGUGUCCUAGCACUCCGGCCUGCUCUCAGGCCCGCCAUGCUUCUCUCCCAUAGAUUUUUAAUGCACUAUAUACAUUCGCAUAUCCUUUGGGGAGCUGGUUGCCCUGGGUGGGGGUGACAGGUCUUUUUUGCCCUGUGACCGUCUUGCCUCACCCCCACCAGUUUCUCCAAUUUUAAUGGACUACACCCCACUACAUGCAGUCACGGUAAAAGGAUAAUGGUUAUCAGUCAGGGACCUGGUAACCAUAGUAAUAGGGUGGGUGGUGGGUUUUCACAUCUAUCUUGGUUGGACACCUGGGGCCUGCGCCCCAUCCUCCAGUUGUCAGGCCACGGAGGGUUGGGGGUCCGGCGCCCCGUUUUUUUGGCCCCGCCUUUCUCUCCCCUCUCUUGGCGUCCUCGCCCGUCCUUGCUCAUGACUAGGGUUGGGCGUCAUUUGGGUUUGGGCGGUUCCCGUUCCAUGUGUCGGUUCUGGUUCCGGGCGGUCCUCGGUUCCGGUUCUUUUGGGGGGCUGGGUCGGGGAAGUUUGAAUAUUUAGACAGUCUCACUAUUGUUCUGCUGUGGUUUUCACUCCUAGUUACCUAGGACCACCACCAUUACCUUUCCUCAAUAAACUGUUCAUCAUUUUACAUCUGCCUCCACCUCCUCUUGGAUCCAGCUACUCUCCAUACGUGACACAGUCCUUACUAUAAUGUACAUCAUCACUGCGUAAUAAUUGUGGGGAAGUUACUAGCUUCAAAUGAAAUCCCAACUCUCGCUCUGACUAAAUGCAUUAAAUGCUCACAUGCUCAUUUAUUUUAGCCCAGCGACCACACAAAUGAUGUCCUCUUUUCCAUUUUUGUACGCCUCAUUUUCUUUCUUUCGUUUACCCUUAGCGUUAUUUUCUUUUUGUAGUUUGUAGUUGUAGUUGUGUGUUUCAUUAAAUAGACUAUAAAAUUCCA